AUGUAUGUAUAAAAUAAGCACGCAUGAAAUGAGUAAUUUAAUUAAUUAAUAAGAUUUAUAUUUCCGAAGAUAUUUUUCAGAUACUAUUGUAGAAGGGAUCAUCUGAAAUGACGAGCACGAUGCACUUUCUUCUUCUUCUUCUUGUUUCUGCCAUAAUUAACUUACAUCUAAUAUAUAACAAGCACUAACAAAUUAAGCACUUUUUCUUCUUCCCGAUGCUACUUAACCAUAGGAUUUUUAGAGCGAUAUAGAUAAACAUGAGAUCAAGUGAAAUAAAAGAUUAGUUACUGUAUUUCAAGGGUGGCGUGAGUUGUUGACCUAGAGUAUUAAUGGAACACACGAUGUAUUUGGUCGCACUAAAUACCGCACCAAUCAGGUGCUAUGAAAUGAUAACGUAACAAUAAAAGUCCACAACCGGAUGUUGAUACUUUUUAUUUUAAGCAUUAAAUUCUAGUUGUAGUUCUUUACAUCUUUGAGAAUCCUUUAGAUUGUGCUUAAUAAUCGGUUGUCUGAGCCUAAAUUGUUACAAUUAGCAACUCGUGACUCGAUGUGUGUGUAUAUUAUUAUUCUAUUUUAUAUCCAUUCUCACACGAAAAUAUAAAGCCUUAAGAGAGAAGAUUAUAAUAUCUCACAUUAUUAGAAAGAGAUGAUUUUGAUUAUUUUUUGAGCUUUCGUUCUCCUAAGUUAAUAGAUAUGUUUUAGAAUUAAUAGUCCAACAAUAAAAUCAUGAGGAGCUAUGUGCUUAAAGUAGGGCAGUGGACAAUAUCUUUUUAAGUUUGGCCCCAAUAUCUAUUUUUCCAAUUUUUGGGUUUCAUUUUUGGGCCCAACAUCUAUUUAAUUUUUCGGCCCGAACCCUUAAAGAUACAGUUUAAAACAUUAAACAUUCCAUGCGCCUUUUAAGAAUGUCACAUAAUUUGUCGUGUUAGAUGGGUUGAGAAAAU
rnacentral:lncRNA from 1 species